rnacentral:rRNA from 1 species
UAAUACGUAGGGUCCGAGCGUUGUCCGGAUUUAUUGGGCGUAAAGAGCUCGUAGGCGGUUCCGUAAGUCAGAUGUGAAAACUCAGGGCUCAACCCGGAGACGCCAUCUGAUACUGCGGUGACUGGAGUCUGGUAGGGGAACACGGAAUUCCUGGUGUAGCGGUGAAAUGCGCAGAUAUCAGGAGGAACACCGAUGGCGAAGGCAGUGUUCUGGGCCAGUACUGACGCUGAGGAGCGAAAGCGUGGGGAGCAAACAGGAUUAGAUACCCUGGUAGUCCACGCCGUAAACGUUGGGCACUAGGUGUGGGGUCUCAUCAACGGACUCCGUGCCGUAGCUAACGCAUUAAGUGCCCCGCCUGGGGAGUACGGCCGCAAGGCUA